AAAAAUUUAGUUAAUUUAUAACAUUAGCUUGUCAAGCUAAAAUAAAUAUUAAGUAUUAAUUUUUG
rnacentral:tRNA from 2 species